GCAUAGUGCUUCGUCGGUGUUAUGAUCUAUGUUCGAUUCCAAGUAAUAUUGGAGACAUUCCAACACUUAAACUGAUUGAGGUUGACGAUAUGUCGUCCGAAACUCUUUUGAUAUCAACAGAAAGGAUAGUAGAGAAACGAAGGAAGUCCAAAACUCUUUUGAGAAACAACAGGGGAAUAAUAUUGAAACGACGGAAUUAUGUAAAUGAUAUCUUUCAAGUUCGUGUGAAGCGUUCCAGAUAAGCUGCUCUUUUUCAGAGUUCAGAAUGGCCGUUGUUUAUGAUGUAGCUCAUCAAAUACUCGAAUGUUCAAAUUAAGAAGGCAAAAAGCUGAUGGUAGAGUAUAGUUACAGUGGAUGAUAUGUUUGUUUGAGUGAAUUCACGACUCUUCUACUUCUUUUUCAUGCUUCUGUUGUAAUUAAUGCUCUAUUCUAUUCAAGUACUUCUGCCAGCAGAAUGUGGUGGAUUAAUUAACAUUCCUUCUUGCAAUUAUUAA